GGAGCAUGUGGUUUAAUACGAAGCAACGACGAAGAACCUUACCAGGUCUUGACAUCCCGAUGCUAUUCUAGAGAUAGAAAGUUACUUCGGUACAUCGGUGACAGGUGGUGCAUGGUUGUCGUCAGCUCGUGUCGUGAGAUGUUGGGUUAAGUCCCGCAACGAGCGCAACCCCUAUUGUUAGUUGCCAUCAUUCAGUUGGGCACUCUAGCGAGACUGCCGGUAAUAAACCGGAGGAAGGUGGGGAUGACGUCAAAUCAUCAUGCCCCCUUAUGACCUGGGCUACACACGUGCUACAAUGGUUGGUACAACGAGUUGCGAGUCGGUGACGGCGAGCUAAUCUCUUAAAGCCAAUCUCAGUUCGGAUUGUAGGCUGCAACUCGCCUACAUGAAGUCGGAAUCGCUAGUAAUCGCGGAUCAGCACGCCGCGGUGAAUACGUUCCCGGGCCUU
rnacentral:rRNA from 1 species